CCCCCCUCUUCGUCAGAGAAGCUGAAUCAGCGAGUUGGGCAUGCGAUGGCUGCAGCAGCUGGAGAACUCCGGAGGUCAUUAUGGCUCUUCAUACACAAGAGAGAAGAAAGAGGGAGGAGCGGAGAGCGGAGGAAACUGAGCUGACAGGUAAUAUAUGCUCACUGUGCCUUCCUCGCUCCGGACAGGAGUUUGCCCCCCAUGCCGGCUGGUUUGCACUGACGUCUCUGCUUUUUUCUACUCCGUUCCGGAUGCACUGGGGGUUAAGCGCAUGGCUGGUCAGCUGCGGUGUGGUCGCUUGGAGGGAGUGGAAUUUACAGCUCUGAAGCAGCAUGAUGAGAAAAACUACUUCUCUGGGAACACCUUGUGAAAUAAUUGCUGGUCAGGCGGCAGGCUGCUGCAGCACAGCACUCUCUGGUUCAUUACCUGCAGCACCGUAGACAUCUAAAAGAUGGACUCAGAAACUCAGUGUCCCUGAAACGCGCAGAUUUUAUCUUGGAUCUUUUCACUCUGAGGCACUUUCAGACGGAAUACAACUAUCGGAAGGGUCACACGCUUUGCCAACUCUCAAUUUUCCAGUGGCCAGCCAUAAUAACUGGAGCCAUGUUUGGUGUUUUAAGACAGCGAGGGGGCAGGUGUACGUUAGCCAUUGGUGUCACAGUGGAACGUAAGUUUCAAACCAGACGGGGGGUGAAUCGGAUUGAUGUAAAAACAGAUGUGCUGGCAAAUUAAUUCUCCUGGGAGGGCGGUUCGGUGGCUGCUGGAUAUGUUUGUCAAUGAGUGAACCCACAACACCCAGGGUAGCAACCCAGUUGUCUCUCUGUCUCUCUGCAUGCUUUCCAAUCACUAGGCAGGGGCAGGGCUGUAGUGCUGCAGUGCCAUCUCCCCCUCUCAACACACUCAUCCUUAAAUCUUUACAAACACUGUGGCGCCACAAGGGUCCAGCCAUACCUCGCCAUCAAAUCUAACCCCGUCAUGCACCACAAACUCAUCCAGGAUUUCCACCCGUGCCCAGAAUAGCCUGUCUAAGUGUCCUUCUGUUAUGUUUCCACCCCUGCACCUCUCCUUUUGGCCUGGUAUUGGAUAGGCUCCUGAGAGGAGGGGGAUGAGACAGGGCGGUGUUGACUUGUGGAAUGUGUUGAGUUGGAGCAAAGAUUCAUUAGAGAGCUACUGAACAUUUCAUGUUGCCAUGCAAACAGUUGUUGAUCUCUAGCACACAGCACUCAAGGUUCUAGAGAAGCUUCUAGAAUAAACACACCCAGGUUAACUCUGGGGGGAAAAAGGAAGGGGUUAAAAAAAAGAAGUAAAAAGAAAUGGGAGAGGAGAAUCAGCACACUCGUUAUAAAUUGCUGAGUGGGCAUUAGCUCUUGCAUGUGACCUCUGGCCUGGUCUGUGUGACUAAAGCCCAAAUCCUGCUCACAAUAGCUUCCUGUUCCACUUGGAUCAACCUCAUUUUUGGACCUCAGCAACCAGUCUGACAUACAACUGAGAAUGUAGUUAAACAACGGACAAGCAGAUGGAAAGGGUGGAAAGGAGAUGCAUAUCAUGUUCAAGACACUUUUACACUAGAAAUGUGUCUUUUUUCCCCUAAGGAGUCCUUUGAACUUUCGUGGACAAGAAAACCAGGGACAACACAGGAACAACUUCCUCUUUUUUUUCAACAACAAUUUUUUUCAGAUUUCAGAGAGAGACUAACUAAAACGACGAUACGGCACAACUCUUUUCCAGAUUCCCGACGGAUAGCCCACAUUCUCUCUUGGACAGCCAAGGUCAACAGAAGAUAUAAAACCGAGUGAACCCCAAUACGUGUAACUCAUACAGGGAACACUGUUGGGAUAAGGCAAAAGAAAAAAAGCGUGACCUAAAGAA